UACGAAGGGGGCUAGCGUUGUUCGGAAUUCCUGGGCGUAAAGCGCGCGUAGGCGGUGAUCUUUGUCAGAGGUGAAAUCCCGAGGCUCAACUUCGGAAUUGCCUUUGAAACGGGAUCGCUUGAGUCCGAGAGAGGAUGGCGGAAUUCCUAGUGUAGAGGUGAAAUUCGUAGAUAUUAGGAAGAACACCGGUGGCGAAGGCGGCCAUCUGGCUCAGUACUGACGCUCAGGCGCGAAAGCGUGGGGAGCAAACAGG
rnacentral:rRNA from 1 species